UUCUCAUAACAGGUAUAUGUAGGUAUUAUUAUUCCUGAUUUACAAAUGAGAAAAGCUGAGGCUUAGAAAAGCCUUGCAGGAGCUUAGGUCAGGAACUUCCCUUUCAGAUUUGCCAUUUAUAUGACUUGGCCAAAGGUGAUGAUUUUAUUGCUGUUGAGAGGUGGACCAAUUGCUUGGGAAAUCUGGGCCUCAGUUCUCCACUGUGCUUUGGGUGUGGACACCUGCCUUCUGGAAAAGAGCCUCUUUUUCAUCCAUUGCUUUGACUACCCUCUCCCAUCCUGAGAUCCCCCACCCUGUUUUCAGAUUCUAGUGGCUUCUGUAUUAUGUCUAGACUCCAUUUUGGCUCCAACUCCUCCUUCUCUGGGUGUUCAGUCUGCCUUCUCUCUUCUUCCAUCCUCAACUCUGGGAUUUCAAAGUCUGAGCUUCUCUUCUGCAAUAUGCAAGUGUCUUCGGGGCAGCAGAGAUUGCCAUGGCUGAGUACCUUCGUGUCCUGGCACCCAACACAGUGCCUGGUAGAUGGCAGGCUCUUCACAAGUGAUGUAAUGGACUCAUGUGGUCAGUAAAACAUGCCCUUUUUAUAAACUCCCUCCCCACGAAACCCAAGCUGUCUCUUUGUUUUUGCUGAAAUAUUAAACAAUUUGGGAGCUGAGAGUGCAAUAAAAACUCAAAAAAGUUACCAAAGUUAGCUCAAUUAUAAGUCCUAGAUCUAAUAUACACAAAUUUAUUCUUAAAACUUUUCUUUUUUUCCCUCUUUUUGGGGGUAUUUUUUUAUUGAAAUAUAGUAAACAUACACUGUUAUAUUGUUUUUAGGUGUCCACUAUACUCGUUUGACAAUCCUACGCAUUAUCCAGUGCAGUGUUGUCACCAUCUGUCAUCAUAAAGCAAUAUUACAAUAUUAUUGACUAUAUUCUCUAUGCUGUCCUUUUCAUUUCUGUGUCUUACUUAUUUUAUAACUGGAAGUUUGUACCUUUUAACCCCUUCACCCGUUUCACCCAUUCCCUGACCCACCUCCCUCUGGCAACCAUGUUUGUUCUCUGUAUUUAAGAGUCCGUUUGUUUUGUUUGUUUGUUUAUUUUGUUUUUUAGAUUCCCCAUAAUGAAAUCUAUUAAUCUUAAUAUGAAUGAAAUCUUAUUAAUCUUAAAACUUCUAAAACUAUUUUUUUUUAAUUUUGUUUACUGUUUAUUUUUGAGAGAGAGAGAGAGAGACAUAGAGCACGAGCAGGGGAGGGGAGAGAAAGGGAGACACAGAGUCCGAAGCAGGCUCCGGGCUCCAACCUGUCCGCACAGAGCCCCACAUGGGGCUCAAACUCAGGAACCGUGAGAUCAUGCCCUGAGCCAAAGUCAGAUGCCCAACCGAGUCACCCAGGUGCCCCUAAAACUAUUUUAUUAUAUAAAAAGGUGGCUUUUACUUACAACAUUGUUAGAAAAGUAGUUUUAUACUUUCAAAUGCAAAUUACUAUUUUCAAAAUUAAAAAAAAUUGAGUUGGGAAUAUAUAGUACAAAACUCAAAAGGUUAAAAAUGACACUUAGUGAAAUGUAAGUUCUUCUCCUCCCUUUUUUUUUUCCAGAUCCCCUGUUCUCUUCUAAGAGUCAACAACUGUUAUUAGCUUCUUGUGUUUUCCUUAAGAGGUGAUCUACAAAGAACUAAUUACUAAGAAUUUGUAAGGUCAUUUUGGUCUCAAUAUCCUGGUCUUGGAUUGUAAAGUUGUCUAAACUGGUUUUUAGAAUGAUAGUUGAGGUCAAAUGACAUCAGCAAUAGUCUUUUUCAUGAUGCAAAAAUCCUUUGCACUCAUUAGAGAAACUUAAACUUGGGUAAGAUGUGGAAGGGAAGGGGAGAGACGAAGGGGUAGUUAAAGCCACUUGUAAUUAAUGGGGAGUUCCGGUAACAUGUCCCUUUCCUCUAUGGAAAUGGUGCAAGAUAUUGAAUUUAAAGUCAGAAAGGGUACCAGUUUGGGGGAAAUGUUCAGAGAACACACACUUUGCAAAUAGCUCUAUGAAAAUAACUUACUUAAGGAUAAGAUGCGAAUUAUCUCAAGAUUCCUAAGUUCUUAUGAACAUUGUAUUUACCAUGACUACAAGUGUAUUAUUAAUGCAUGAAAUUAUUGCUGGUUCAUACAUAUAUUGGCUAAGAAUGAACUUGGGCAAAGUGUCUAAAAGCAAGAACAGAAAAGUGGUUCAUAAUACUCACCAUAAGAAAAUGUUGAAUGGAUCCUGGCCAUUGUUUAGAAGAAGUUCAAGACGGUAUAAGCAGCUAUAUUAAUGAAUUUUUAAGUAUUUUUUUUCUCUGAGAAGGUCAAUGGCUAUGGCUAGAACUGCCCUGUUGAUGGCCAAGGAUGCAUAUGAGAUAGAGAGAAAACUGCACAUUUACCCCUGACGGGGGAGGGGAAAGGAUGCCAGGGUGGUUUUUGUUUGUUUGUUUGUUCGUUUGUUUGAGAGAGAGCAAGUGGGGGAAGGGCAGAGAGAGAUGGAGUGAGAGGGAAGCCAAAGCAGGCUUCUCACCAAUCGCACAGAGCCUGAUGUGGGGCUUGAACCCACGAACCGUGAAAUCAUGACCUGAGCCGAAACCAGGAAUUUGACACUUAACCAGUUAAGCCGCCCAGGUGCCCCUGUGGGAUGCCAGAGUGUUCUUAUGAGCCAAGAGGACUUGUGGAAGGAUCUGGCCUUAGGGUCGUUGUAAAACACUUAUCUUUGAAGGCUUCUUGCCAAAGGACAAAGGCCAUCAGCAAAAAGAGGCUGGAAGGUAUCACUGGCUACAGAGGAUGAAGAUCGGAUGAGAAGCACUUGGCCAGAGACCAGAAUGGCCCCAGGGUCCCCAGGGAGUGACUUUGGUGAGGAUUCCGCAAAGUGCUGUUGAAGAGAAGGAAUCAUCACUGGGAAACUGCCUCACCCAGAAGAUGCAAACAUCGUUCUAUAUCUGCCUUUGAUGAAAAAGUUCUGGAGAUCUGUUUCACCAUAAUGUGACUCUACUUGACAUUUGCCAAACUAUACUUAAAAAUGGUUUAGAUGGUAAAUUUGAUGUUAUGUGUCUUUUAACCACCUUAAAAAAAAGAGUGAAAGAUGUAUGGGAUCCAAAACCUCAGUAAAGUUUUCACUUCAGGGGAGAUAAAGGUUGAAUCCACAAAUGUGGUUUGAAUGGGCCCUGGGAAAAAGAAUCGAGUUGUUUCCUGCUCGUAUCCUAUCUAUCAUGUCCCGCUAUUGUGAUAUAAUGGUUACCAGUUAACUAUAAACAAGGCCAGUGUUCAUUAUUAAGGACUUGUUAAAAGAAAAUUUUAAAGGAAAUUUCAUUUCUAGCUAUGACAUAUAGAUAUAAACAUUACGUAAGACUGUGUGUGUGUGUGUGUGUGUGUGUGUAUAGAGAAAUUUAUAUUUCUUUCUAUGUACAUGUAAAGUGACAGGACCAUUCUUGGGCAGUUGGAUCUGGUAUACUUCAAUGACUUAAGGUCAGAUUGACCCCAGUGAUAUCAUUAUACCUAUAGUUUAUGUUGCAUUAACAUUUUUUUUUAAGUUCAGAAAUAUCGCUCAAUCAUUUGCUCUAGACCGAAUGUUAUGUCUCCUUAAAAUUCCUAUGUUGAAACCUAACCCUCAAUGUUGUCUUUGGAGGUAGAACCUUGGCAGGUGCUUAGGACAUGAUGGGGGAACCCUCAUGAAUGGGAUUAGUGCCCUUAUGAAAGAGACCCCAGGGAGCUCCCUUCCCACUUCUGCCAUGUGAGGACACAGUGAGAAGACUGUGACCUGGAAGAGGGCCCUCAUCCAACCAUGCUGGCACCUUAGAUCUCAGAUGUCCAACCUCCAGAUCUGUGGGCAAUCAAUUUCUCUUGUGUUGAAGGCUCCCAGCCUGGGCUAACUUGUUCUCGCAGCCCAAAUGGGAUAAGACACCUAGCCUCGAAAGUCACACAGCACAGCCUCUACAAUGUUCCCCAUGUCAGCAUCAAGAUGCCUAGUCUAGUCACCUGCAAGGGAAGGGAAAUUAGACUCCACCUUUUGGAGGUGGCAGUGUCCAUGAAUCUGUAGAUGUAUUUAAAAGCCAUCAUGCGACAUGACUGGUUUUGCCAAUGAAAAGUGAAAUAUGUCGCUUCUGGAGGGAAACCUUUAAGAGCUGGUGUGUGAUUUUCCACAUUCUUGUCCCUUGCCAAUAUCGAGGGGACAUGUGUUGAUACGGAGGAAUAAAGCUGAGUCAUUGCAUGGGGGACAGCUGCCCUAGAAAGUAGCCCUGACAUUUCAAAGGAACUUGCAUGAGUGAGAAAUAAACCUUUGUUGUUUUGAACAACUGAGAUUUUGGAGUUACUGCAUCAUAACCCCAUCUAUCCUGACCAGUGUUCCUUCCCCAGCAUCCAAAUUUGCAAAAUGGGUUGUUCAAGGACAAUCCUGGAGACUAGAGUUCAUGAUUUAAAAAGAUAGACUGGGGGCACCUGGUGGAUCAGUCGGUUGGGCAUCUGACUUUGGAUCAGGUCAUGAUCUCAUACUUUGUGGGUUUGAGUCCUGUGUUUGGGCUCUGUGCUGAAGCUCAGAGCCUGGAGCCUCCUUCAGAUUCUGUAUAAUCUACUCUUUCCACCUCUCUCCCGCUUGUGCUCUCUCUCUCUCUCUCUCAAAAAUAAAUAAAUAAACAUUAAUGAAAAAAAAAAAAAAGAUAGACUGCAUUACCAGUGCUCCCGAUGCUCCCUUCACUAUGGAGCAGGGGUUGGCAAACUAUGGCCCAUAGACCAAAUCUAGUCCACUGUCUACUAUUGGAUAGCCAGUAAAUAAGAAUGGUUUUGGGGGCACCUGGGUAGCUCAGCUGGUUAAGCAACUGACUUCAGCUUAGGUCAUGAUCUCGUGGCUCACCGGUUCGAGCCCCCUGUCAGGCUCUGUGCGGACAGCUCAGAGCCUGAAGCCUGCUUUGGAUUCUGUGUCUCCCUCGCUCUCUGCCCCUCCCCUGCUUGUGCUCUGUCUCUGCCCCUCAAAAAUAAAUAAAAACAUUAAAAAAAUUUUUUAAAAGAAUGGUUUUUAUAUUUUUAAAUAGUUGAAAAAAAACCGAAGAUGAAGAAUAUUUCAUGACAUGUGAAAAUUAUAUGAAGUUCAAAUUCCUGUGUCCAUAAAGAUUUUUUUGGACCACAUCGUGCUCAUUCAUUUAAGUAUCACCGAUGGCCGUUUGUGCGUCACAGCAGUGUUGAGUUGGUGUAUGGCCUCCAAGGCCCAAAUUAUUUGCUAUCUUCUGGCCUUUUGCAGAGUUUGCUAACCUUGGCCUAGCAGACGAUAGUCUGGCAAAACACGGAAUUUGACGACUUUGAAAUGCGAUUCAAGAAAAUUGGACUGAAUAGGUUUGAGAAACACCCUAACUGACCAAUUUUCUUUGCAUAUAUAUUUUUAUUGGCUCAUGGGUGAUAUGGGCUAAAAAAAAAAAGUCUGAAGUUUAAAAGCUUCUUGAAUAAGUACACAAUGCAGUCCCUAAGAAAUAAGAAAUCAGGGUGACACAGUUUAAUUUGCAAUUGUUUCCCCCUCCUUACAAUCUGUAGUGUCCUAGACUCAAUGAUAUAUGAUAGCAUAAAUGACCCAAAGUGAAAGAAUUCUCUGGAAAUGUCUUUGAAAGGCUAAUUAUGAUUAACAGUCUGACUCAUCAGCUCUUUCUUCCAUUUAUUUACUCCACUCUUGGCAAGUGGCCAGCUAAACAUAAUCCAGCGGGCUGUGACUUCUUGCAGUUGCUUGGGUAUCCAGGUAGAGCAUUACGAUUGAGGAGUCUUCAAUCCUAGGGCGUUUUCUGAAUUGCACUCAGCCGUGUGGGAGACCUGGAACAGCAAGCCGCGGCAGGAGCGCCUUAGGCGCGUGCUGUUCCCAAUCUUGCUGAGAAAUGCUCGUCUCCACACCAAGAAGGUUAGUAACUGCUGCCAGAGAGGUCUGGGAUGAGUGUUUAUUUGUUUUCUGUCGUCUCCGUUGUCAGCACUUCUGAGAAUGGCAGCUGACGCGUCCUUACUUUAGAGAAUUCAGCCACUGGUUUCUGGUAAAAUAUAGGAAAACUAAAGAUCUAAGAUGAAAUAAAGGUGUUGUUUUUUGUUUUUUGUUCUUGUUUUUGUUUCUUGUUUUCUGGUUUUUUUGUUUGUUUUUGUUUUGUUUUGUUUUGUUUUUUGUUUGUUUGGGUUUUUUGUUGUUGUUUGUGUUUAAGACUCGCCUACACGGGCAAUGAAAUAUAGUCUGGAUUAAUCCUAAAUCCUUAUCUGGAGUUGUAGGGAUCAUAAAGACACAGAGCCUUCUUCCCGGUAACUGCACCUGUAAAUGGAUCCUCCACUACAGAGGUCUUGGCGGAAAAAGUCUAGAAAACACAUCUGUUACUGUCAAAAGCGCAAGUAACAAGAAUGAUCAAAUCUUGGGGACCCUGUGGACCAAGCGGGACCCAAGUGUGGGGUCUGACUUUGGGGGGAGGGAGGGAUCCGACUGCUUGAUUGUGUGAGUUUUUUGAAGUCAGGCUUAUGGAGGCAUAAUUUACAUACAGUAAAAUUCACCCCUUUUGGAUGUAGGUUCUGUGAGUCUUGACAAAAGUAGAGAGCUACGUGAUACCAAUACCCUCAAGACAGAGAACAGUUUCUUGGGGCGCCUGGGCAGCUCAGUUGGUUUAGCGUCUGACUUUGGCAGUUUGUGAGUCGGAGCCCUGCAUCGGGCUCUCUGCUCUCAGUGCCGGGCCAACUUCAGAUCCUGUCUCCCUCGGUCUCUGCCCCUUCCCCCUUGCUCUCUGUCUCUGUCAAAAUAAAUAAACUUUAAAAAAAAAAAAAGAGAAAGACAAAGAACAGUUUCUUCACCCCAGGAAGUUCCUUUUGGCCCCCUGGCAGUCAAUUCCCUCCUCUAACCCUGGCCCCCAGCCCAGAGCAACUACCAAUUUGUGUUUUGUUCCUCUCCUUUUUCCUUCUCUAGAAGGUCAUACAAUUGGCAUCAGAUAAAUGAAAUUAUACCAUUACCAGCUA